rnacentral:rRNA from 1 species
AAUCUUUGAACGCACAUUGCGCCCGUCAGUAUUCUGGCGGGCAUGCCUGUUCGAGCGUCAUUACAACCCCUUAAGCCACUGUUGCUUAGUGUUAGAAGAUUACGCUAGGCCGGUCAAACGGUCACUGUAACUUCCGAAAUUUAGUGAGCGGAGCUUGGUAGCAUACUCCAGACGUAGUAAUUCUUACAUCGCCUGUACUGUGUCACUAGCAUCCUGCCAUAAAAACUUUUUUUUUCUAUGGUUGACCUCGGAUCAGGUAGGAAUACCCGCUGAACUUAAGCAUAUCAAUAAGCGGAGGAAAAGAAACCAACAGGGAUUGCCCUAGUAACGGCGAGUGAAGCGGCAACAGCUCAAAUUUGAAAUCUGGCCUCACGGUCCGAGUUGUAAUUUGCAGAGGAUACGUUUGGUGAGAUACCUUCCGAGUUCCCUGGAACGGGACGCCGUAGAGGGUGAGAGCCCCGUACGGUUGGAUAUCGAACCUCUGUAACGUUCCUUCGACGAGUCGAGUAGUUUGGGAAUGCUGCUCUAAAUGGGAGGUAAAUUUCUUCUAAAGCUAAAUAUUGGCCAGAGACCGAUAGCGCACAAGUAGAGUGAUCGAAAGAUGAAAAGCACUUUGAAAAGAGGGUUAAACAGCACGUGAAAUUGUUGAAAGGGAAGCGUUUGCGACCAGACUCGUAUGUAGUGAAUCAACUGGUGUUCUCACCGGUGCACUUUACUGCGUCACGGGCCAGCAUCGAUUUCGCCAGGGGGAUAAAAACACUGAGAACGUAGCUCCUCCG